CACAGCUCUCCCCAUGUCUCUUCCCAGGGUCACAGAUAUUGUGCCUCUCCCUCUUCCUCUGCCCUUGGAUGAUGUCAUUUCUCAACUGCUGACAGUUGCCUUGAAGGAGAAGACCAAAGAAUCAACAUCAUGUGACAUUGAUCUCAGUGAUUUCAGCGAAUGCAACAACUAGAGACCUUCAGGCAGCAAACUAAACCCAGCACGUGGGCUACCAAAGCAUUUCC